rnacentral:lncRNA from 1 species
CGUCGAUUAGGGUUUCGGAUCGUGAAAUUGAGGUCGAGAUUGUAUCGGAGGUUGUUGUCUGCGCCGAGGGUGAAUUGGGUGAGCUUGGCGUCGGUGACGUGGAAUUUGAUCGCGUUGGGUCGGAAAAUUAGCCAGAUGAUCAAGGCGGCUAUGCCAACGAUGAUGACAAGGGUUAUGAUGAUGUUGAAGAUGACGCUUAGGAUGCAGCAGCCGCAACAGCCAAGACAGUCACCUAAACAGCCGCAUCCACCGCCGCGUCUGCCGUGGCUGCGGGAGGUUUUCGUCGGCGGAGGAAUCGACGGCCCGUAAUACGCACCGUUUAGUUGCGGUUGCCUGUCUCCC